rnacentral:rRNA from 1 species
UACGUAGGGGGCUAGCGUUGUCCGGAUUUAUUGGGCGUAAAGAGCGUGUAGGCGGCCAGAUAAGUCCGCUGUGAAAUCUCGAGGCUCAACUUCGAGCUGUCGGUGGAAACUGUCUGGCUAGAGUCCGGAAGAGGAGAAUGGAAUUCCUGGUGUAGCGGUGAAAUGCGCAGAUAUCAGGAAGAACACCCGUGGCGAAGGCGGUUCUCUGGGACGGUACUGACGCUGAGACGCGAAAGCGUGGGGAGCGAACAGG